UACAGAGGGUGCUAGCGUUGUUCGGAUUCAUUGGGCGUAAAGGGUGCGUAGGUGGCGCCGUAAGUCGGGUGUGAAAUUUCGGAGCUUAACUCCGAAACUGCAUUCGAUACUGCGGUGCUUGAGGACUGGAGAGGAGACUGGAAUUCAUGGUGUAGCAGUGAAAUGCGUAGAGAUCAUGAGGAAGACCAGUGGCGAAGGCGGGUCUCUGGACAGUUCCUGACACUGAGGCACGAAGGCCAGGGGAGCAAACGGG
rnacentral:rRNA from 1 species